CCCUUAGAUGUUCUGAACCGCACGCGUGUUACACUGAUGCAUUCAACGAGCUUUACCUUGGCCGAGAGGCCUGGGAAAUCUUUUUAGCAUGCAUCGUGAUGGGGAUUGAUUAUUGCAAUUAUUAAUCAUGAACGAGGAAUUCCUAGUAAACGCAUUUCAUCAAAAUGCAUUGAUUACGUCCCUGCCCUUUGUACACACCGCCCGUCGCACCUACCGAUUGAGUGGUCCGGUGAAGUCUCGAGAUUGUGGCAAUCUCCUUUAUUGGAGUUUGACUGCGAGAACUUGCCUAAACCUUAUCACUUAGAGGAAGGUGAAGUCGUAACA
rnacentral:rRNA from 1 species